rnacentral:rRNA from 1 species
UACGAAGGGGGCUAGCGUUGCUCGGAUUGACUGGGCGUAAAGGGCGCGUAGGCGGUUUGCAUAGUCAGACGUGAAAUUCCUGGGCUUAACCUGGGGGCUGCGUUUGAUACAUGCAGGCUUGAGUUCGGAAGAGGGUCGUGGAAUUCCCAGUGUAGAGGUGAAAUUCGUAGAUAUUGGGAAGAACACCGGUGGCGAAGGCGGCGACCUGGUCCGAUACUGACGCUGAUGCACGAAAGCUAGGGGAGCAAACAGG